CUCUCUCUGGAGAUUUCUCUUCUUGGAGUUUUUUCAGUGAGCCCAGGACACGGCAGACGGAGAAGAGAAGAAGCACCUGCCUGCCCUCCCUCUCAAGCCCCCUGGUUUGUCUACUUAAUUUGCUGCAAAAUUGGAGGAAGCUCUAGAAAAAGUGGCUGGUUCAACUCACUGGGUCUCAUAACAAGAUCUCUUAAGAGAAUGGAAAGAAGAAUGGGUACCAUCCUCUAAGACAGAAAACAUGAGGGGUCUUCAGGAAGUGACACAUUCUUGGAAGUUUUGAAUGGAUUAAGCAGAAAUGGAUGAGAGGAAUAAAUAUUUUCAAGUUCUACGGUUCACAGAAUUUUGUAUGUACUGAACAAGCUCAGCAGUAAAGAAUGCUUAGAGGGAAGACGUAAUGGGCUAAUUUUUUUCCCCCCAUCUUUUUACAGUCAGUUCUGUGUCAAAAUUUUAUUUUUUCUGAGAUCUGAAAGAAUUGUACUGUUGCUUAACAUGUAGAAAACAGAGAACUGAGUUAAUAUGGAUUUUUCUGUUGCUUGAACAAGGCCUGUUGAUGGCAAGUCUGAAAUAAGCUUGUGAAUGAAGUGAAAUAGAGGACCGAACUUUUUCUACCUCCUGACCAGAAAGGGUAGAACAGUUACCCACCGGAAACUUUGUGUUUCAAAUGGGAAUAAAAGCCAGAGCUAUUGCAGUGAACUUGUCUGUCCUUGUAGAGGUAGUGCACACAGGACAACAACAUCAGAACGUAACAAGAUGACUGAUGGGAUAACUGUGGUUCCCUUUCCUUGGGUAGGAUGAGGCCACCUACCACUACAGAACCUUCAAUACGGGGCCCAAACAUAACUGGCAGAAAUAUAGUGUUUAUAUAUAUAGAAAUUAAUUUUUUAAUCUUCUCAAUAAGUGAAAAAGAUCAGAUAAUCAAACUUGUGAAGUAAAAAAUUGAUGCUCUUUUUUUACUUGUACGUCUAUGUUUUUGUGAUACAAAUAAUUGGUAGUAGAAAUCUUCUGGGUCUCUUGUUUACUGUUUUAUAAAGUACUAUGCCAAUACCUGUGUGGCUGAUUCUGGAGGGUGUCUUGAUUUUGAUGGUGUGUUUCCAUGUGCAGAACAUAGUCACUUCAUUGGUGACAAUUGUGUGGUAAAACAAACUUUGUGUGCUGCCUAAAUGCAUGAUCCUUUGCCCUUUGGGAGCUUCGGUAUUUGAAUUAAAUUUUCUUCAUUAGUCUAUUAACAUUUUGUUUGGAAGGGUACAGCAUUAUCCCCAUCCACUACAGAAGCCAGCAGUUAGGCUACUCAGAAAGAUGGUUAUGCUUCCAGUAUGAGAGAGUUACAGGUUUCUCCAUCCAGGGUUAGCUCAGAGGGUCACUAUAGCAGCAGGAGGCACAGGCUCAGACAGUGAGCAAGCAGAAUGGAGUGAGGCAUCUGGAAAAAAAACAAAACAAGUACGCUGAACAUCUAAUUUGUUCUUGUUUUUGCGAGUUAAGUGAUGUAGGCAUAAAAACCAGAAUUUUCAGUUUGCAGCACCUAUGUUUGUCCUAAUAGGCCCCGCGCAUAAAUAGAUUCAGUGAAGUGCUUAAUGUAAGCUUUUCUAUGCUUGGAUUGGGCAAUCACAUGUUUCUCAGCUGAGUGCAAAUACAGUCCAUUAUUUUCUAAACGGGCUUGAAAUUCAUGAAUACAGCAAACACCCAAGAUGAAGUGGAUUAUCUCUUUCAUUUUCUAUGCCUGCUUUUCACCUUAGCAAUCUUCUUUCCUUCUAACUUAUUUUUAUCUUUAUGUAAUUUCCACACAUAUACAAAGGCUUCACUGUAUAUAGCUUUCUUGUUAUGCUCUAAUGUUCAGAGGUUUGUGAAACUGUUUCAGAAGAUGUGAGCAUACAAGAUCUUUGAAGUCUUGCUCUGAAUGAAAGGAGUUGCAGUGCUAUUACCAAUGCUGAUAUUUUGAUGAAGUGAUGCAUCUUCUGAUCCAAACAGGCUAUUCUGCAAUCUUUGCAUCUGAGACGUAAAUUUAUAUUUCUAAAUGUUUCUAAAUCUAUGUGACUACACAAAAUGUUUUAUAAUAGUUUUCUUUGUGUCUAAGUGUUUUGCUUUGUGUGGUGCCAGAUGAAGGACACUCUAAACUAGCAUAUGUUGUAGCAUUAUGUGUCUGAUCUGUAUGGAUUACCAUAGCUUCUUAAUCUGACUGUACAUAACUAUCUUAAAAGCUGUAUACUAAAAGGCUAAAGUGUAAUAUUUAGGGCACUUUGCAGGUAAAUGUGUAAUGUAUAUCUUAAGGUGGUAACCACAGCUGCAGCGACACUUCACAAUUAAUAAUAAUAAUAAUAAUAAUAAAUGAUUAAUUGCUAAU
ensembl:lncRNA